rnacentral:lncRNA from 1 species
AUGUUGUUAUUGUUAGUGUGGCACCCCCAGCCCAUGCCAGGAGGAUCUGAGACACCCAGGGAAGAGGCCAGAGAGCAGCUCAGGACCCUGCCUGGUGUCCAAGACUGCGAUGGUCUUCAAGGAGGGACAGUCGUCCAGGAGGAGUGCGGACGUGCGGACGUGCGGACGUGCGGCCGUGGCUACCGUCCAGCCUCGUGGUCAGAGUGUGGGCAGAACAGGCGCGCAGGACGGGUAACAAGGUUCCUGGGGUUAAGACAUGAACAGUCGUUUGGGGGCAUGUGAUUAAACCCAUAGCACUGCCCCCGAGGAGCAACC